rnacentral:rRNA from 1 species
AUACGGAGGGUGCAAGCGUUAUCCGGAUUUAUUGGGUUUAAAGGGUGCGUAGGCGGUUUGAUAAGUCAGCGGUGAAAUAUUUCAGCUUAACUGGAAGGGUGCCGUUGAUACUGUCGAGCUUGAAUUUAGUUGCUGUGGGUGGAAUGUGUGGUGUAGCGGUGAAAUGCAUAGAUAUCACACAGAAUAUCGAUUGCGAAGGCAGCUCACAAAGCUAAUAUUGACGCUGAUGCACGAAAGUGUGGGGAUCAAACAGGAUUAGAUACCCUGGUAGUCCACACUGUAAACGAUGAUAACUCGCUGUCGGCGAUACAUAGUCGGUGGCCAAGCGAAAGCGAUAAGUUAUCCACCUUGGGAGUACGACCGCAAGGUUGAAACUCAAAGGAAUUGACGGGG